GAGUUUGAUCCUGGCUCAGAUUGAACGCUGGCGGCAUGCCUUACACAUGCAAGUCGAACGGCAGCACGGGAGCUUGCUCCUGGUGGCGAGUGGCGAACGGGUGAGUAAUGCAUCGGAACGUAUCCUGGAGUGGGGGAUAACGUAGCGAAAGUUACGCUAAUACCGCAUAUUCUGUGAGCAGGAAAGUGGGGGACCUUCGGGCCUCGCGCUCUUGGAGCGGCCGAUGUCGGAUUAGCUAGUUGGUGAGGUAAAGGCUCACCAAGGCGACGAUCCGUAGCAGGUCUGAGAGGAUGAUCUGCCACACUGGAACUGAGACACGGUCCAGACUCCUACGGGAGGCAGCAGUGGGGAAUUUUGGACAAUGGGGGCAACCCUGAUCCAGCCAUGCCGCGUGAGUGAAGAAGGCCUGG
rnacentral:rRNA from 1 species